UACGGGGGGGGCAAGCGUUGUUCGGAAUUACUGGGCGUAAAGGGCUCGUAGGCGGCCAAUUAAGUCAGACGUGAAAUCCCUCGGCUUAACCGGGGAACUGCGUCUGAUACUGGAUGGCUUGAGAUUGGGAGAGGGAUGCGGAAUUCCAGGUGUAGCGGUGAAAUGCGUAGAUAUCUGGAGGAACACCGGUGGCGAAGGCGACAUCCUGGACCAACACUGACGCUGAGGAGCGAAAGCCAGGGGAGCAAACGGG
rnacentral:rRNA from 1 species